rnacentral:rRNA from 1 species
UACGUAGGGGGCGAGCGUUGUCCGGAGUUACUGGGCGUAAAGCGCACGCAGGCGGUCUGCUAAGUUUGGAGUGACAGUUGGUGGCUUAACUGCCAAAAGUGCUUCGAAAAACUGACAGACUUGAGGGGCUUCAGAGGGACACGGAAUUCCGGGUGGAGUGGUGAAAUGCGUAGAGAUCCGGAGGAACACCAAAGGCGAAGGCAGUGUCCUGGGGAGUACCUGACGCUCAGGUGCGAAAAGCCAGGGGGAGCGAACGGGG